GGGGGGGGGGGGGGGGGGGGGGAAGAAGCAAGUCAUUAUUAUGGUCUCUUGAAGGAAUCUGAUCCUUCAUAGUUGUUAUGGUUUGGAUGUCCCUUCAGAAUUGAAGAUUAUUUCAUUCUAACCCAAACUUCCAAAAGGAUGGAGGGGCACAUUUGAGAGAACCAGGCAGCCAUGCAUAGUUCGCAAUAUGCGUUCAUGAAAUAGUCAAAAAAAAAA